rnacentral:tRNA from 1 species
GGGGCAGUAGCUCAGUUGGUCAGAGCAGGAGACUCAUAACCUCCCACGCGUCGGUUCAAGUCCGACCUGCCCCA